rnacentral:rRNA from 1 species
GACGAACGCUGGCGGCGUGCUUAACACAUGCAAGUCGAACGAUGAAGUUCCUUCGGGAAUGGAUUAGUGGCGAACGGGUGAGGAACACGUGAGAAACCUGCCCAUCAUUCUGGGAUAACACCGGGAAACCGGUGCUAAUACCGGACACUCCAUCGCGGCGGCAUCGCUGCGCUGGGAAAGAAUUUCGAUGAUGGAUGGUCUCGCGGCCUAUCAGCUUGUUGGUGAGGUAAUGGUUCACCAAGGCGACGACGGGUAGCCGGCCUGAGAGGGCGACCGGCCACACUGGGACUGAGGCACGGCCCAGACUCCUACGGGAGGCAGCAGUGGGGAAUAUUGGGCAAUGGACGCAAGUCUGACCCAGCGACGCCGCGUGAGGGAUGAAGGCCUUCGGGUUGUAAACCUCUUUCAGUGGGGAAGAAGCGAAAGUGACGGUACCCAAAGAAGAAGCACCGGCUAACUAUGUGCCAGCCGCCGCCGUAA